UACGUAGAUGGCGAGCGUUGUCCGGAUUUACUGGGCGUAAAGGGCGUGCAGGCGGUUUUGUUAAGUGCAGGGUGAAAGCUCCCGGCUCAACUGGGAGAGGUCCUUGCAUACUGGCGAACUCGAGGGAGGCAGAGGAAAGUGGAAUUCCCGGUGUAGUGGUGAUAUGCGUAGAUAUCGGGAGGAACACCUGUGGCGAAGGCGGCUUUCUGGGCCUUACCUGACGCUGAGACGCGAAAGCGUGGGGAGCGAACCGG
rnacentral:rRNA from 1 species